CCCAGUGACCCUCUUUCCUCAUCCCCGCAGCUCCUGGGGAGAUGGGGAUCCGGCCCCCGGGAUCCUGGCUGCCCUCGGCCUCGCUGUGCUGACUGGGGCCGGCGCCGUGCUGGCUGGAGUCGUGGUGCGGAGGAGAAAGCGUUCGGACUCUGGCAGAAGCAGCUUCGCCCCGACUGCUGGAGAGGAUCCCACGCCCGACCUGGACCCUGCUGGCCUGCGUCAGACCACACCUGUGUGAUGGGCCGGGUGCCCGGUGACCCACCAUCCACAGCCCCUGCCAGCCUGGACCCGCUGGCCAGCAUCAGACCCCGCCGAUGUGAUGGGCCUGGCACCCGGUGGCCCACCACCCACAGCCCCUGCCAGCCUGGACCCGCUGGCCAGUGUCAGACCCUGCCUGUGAGACGGGACGGGCACCCAGUGACCCACCACCCACAGCCCCUGCCAGCCUGGACCCGCUGGCCAGCGUCAGACCCUGCCUGUGAGACGGGACGGGCACCCAGUGACCCACCACCCACAGCCCCUGCCAGGCUGGACCCGCUGGCCAGCGUCAGACCCCGCCGGUGUGAUGGGCCAGGCACCCGGUGACCCACCACCCACAGGCCCUGCCAGCCUGGACCCGCUGGCCCGCGUCGGACCCCGCCGGUGUGAUGGGCCAGGCACCCGGUGACCCACCACCCACAGGCCCUGCCAGCCUGGACCCGCUGGCCCGCGUCGGACCCCGCCUGUGUGAUGGGCCGGGCACCCGGUGACCCACUGCCCCUGCCAGACUGGACCCGCUGGCCCGCGUCGGACCCCGCCUGUGUGAGACGCCGAGUGCUGCUCAGCCAGGCUGGAGAUGAGGCGCCAGGUUUUACCAGUGAGGGGAAUGAACCCCUGGAGCUAUUUCCCAAAGGUCCUGCUGGAUUCUCCACCCCAGCGUGUUUAACUCACAAUUGGCUGGUUUUCUCCAGGAUCUGCUCUGGGAUUAUGGCAGGUCUGUGCAGGGGAUCAGACCCGAUGAUCGCAGUGAUCCCUUUUGGCCUUGGGAUCUGUGACUCUCUGAACCCACCACCCACAGCCCCUGAUUGCCAGGAGUCGCCCGCAGCAGAGACCCCACGCGUGGCACUGUGUGCACGGCUCCUCCCCAGACACAGCAGCCAGGAGCCGUGGGGCAGCUGGAGCAAAGCCCAGGGACGGUGCCAGAGCCGCGCGGGGAACAGGCUGCGAGUGCACCAGGCAUCUCAGCCGGGGCAGGUCUGCGGAGGACUCGGGGCAGCAGAGACCAGGAGCCGGGGGCCCCAGGAGAGAGACUUUCCGAGCCGGGCCCAGAAUCCCACAGACACCGAUUGGCUGGGCUAGGGGCUGGACUGGAGCGGGUGCCCCCGGCACGCAGCUGACGGAUCCGGAGUCUCUACUGGGCCACCCCAGGGCCCUGAACUGGAGCUGCUAUUGGUCCCCUGGAACUGCAGCUGCCUCUGGGCUGGGGGGGAUCUGCCCUCGCCCCCUUUGCUGCUGGCCCCA